rnacentral:ncRNA from 1 species
CCAGCUUAUUAUUAAGCGGAGGAAAAGAAACUAACAAGGAUUCCCCUAGUAACGGCGAGUGAACGGGGA